rnacentral:tRNA from 1 species
GGCGAAGUAGCUCAGCUGGUUAGAGCGUCGGAAUCAUAAUCCGUAGGUCGAGGGUUCGAGCCCCCCCUUCGCUACCA